GACAGAGGGUGCAAACGUUGCUCGGAAUCACUGGGCGUAAAGGGCGUGUAGGCGGGAAGGAAAGUCAGAUGUGAAAGCCCUGGGCUCAACCCAGGAACUGCAUUUGAAACUCCCUUUCUUGAGUGUCGGAGAGGAAAGCGGAAUUCCUGGUGUAGAGGUGAAAUGCGUAGAUAUCUGGAGGAACACCGGUGGCGAAGGCGGCAUCCUGGACCGGCAUUGACGCUGAGGAGCGAAAGCCAGGGGAGCAAACGGG
rnacentral:rRNA from 1 species